rnacentral:rRNA from 1 species
AUUGAACGCUGGCGGCAUGCUUUACACAUGCAAGUCGAACGGUAACAGGCCGCAAGGUGCUGACGAGUGGCGAACGGGUGAGUAAUGCAUCGGAACGUGCCCAGUCGUGGGGGAUAACGCAGCGAAAGCUGUGCUAAUACCGCAUACGAUCCAUGGAUGAAAGCGGGGGACCGUAAGGCCUCGCGCGAUUGGAGCGGCCGAUGUCAGAUUAGGUAGUUGGUGGGGGACAGGCCUACCAAGCCGACGAUCUGUAGCAGGUCUGAGAGGACGACCGGCCACAAGGGGACUGAGACACGGGCCAGACUCCUGCGGGAGGCAGCAGUGGGGAAUUUUGGACGUUGGGCGCACGCCUGUUCCAGCAAUGACGGGUGCAGGAAGAAGGCCUUCGGGUUGUAAACUGCUUUUUUACGGAACGAAACGGGCUGGGUUAAUACCCUGGGUUAAUGACGUUACCGUAAGCAUAAGCACCGGAUAACUACGUGCCAGCCGCCGCAGUAA